rnacentral:tRNA from 1 species
CCGUAGCUCAGCGGUAGAGCGGCCGGCUCAUAACCGGUAGGUUGCUGGUUCGACACCAGCCGG